CUCUACAUACCACGGAUUCAAAAGCUCCAAUAGCUAGCCAUGUGUCUUCUCUCUGUGCAUCCUACUGUUCCCCUUGACCCCUCAUGCCCUCUCUCUUCCCUCAAACAACACCCAGAUCUCAUCGAUGACAACUCUUAAAUCCUAAUCUUACUUUCAAUCUCUCCAUCUUAAAGAUAACUCAUAUCCCUAAUUUAGGGAUUUAUGGGUUUUCAAAAGAUCUUAUCAACGCAUGGUUUUUUUCUCUUCUAUCAACGCAGGGUUUUUUUUUUUUGGAUAUUCACUAACAUCACGAAAUCAACAACUAUUUAAGAUGAAAUAUCUUGGCAGGUCAACCAAAGCAACUGCAUCUAUCAUGCUGAGAUGAGACUUGGUACACAAUGUCGUAUUGAAAAAAAAAAAAACAGAGUUUUAGCUUUCAACUAAUAGAUUAUUUAUCUUUCAAUUGUUUUUAGCCUAGCUUAAGUAAGUUAGUCUAUAAAUGAAUGGCUCGUGAACAAAGUUGAAUGUAGGUGAAAACUCAGGGUUCAUAGACAUGAAGUCUCUACGUGAUUGAUGCAGUGUCUUUAUUUCUUUUGGUUCGAUUUGCAAUUAUAUGCAACGUCUCCUCUGGCUCAUCACUUAGACUCAGAUCAUAUGGUGCAAAGAAGUUUUUGUUUCCGUUUUUAAUGCUUUCUUUGCAUUCAAGUUUAGCUUUGUUUACAUGUGCAGAGGUCAUUCUCUAUUGGUUUUUUAUUAACUUGUUUUCAGUUUUGACCAGUAACAAAGUUUGUUAUUUUGACCAGGUAAAAAGACUAUGUAUAGCAUUGUUUCGUUCCGACUUGAACGAGUGGCUGCUUGUAGUAGACUCUAGUUAUAGUUUUGGUAGAAUUUAGCGUGAUAUCUUUUGGCUUCUCGUAGUUAAAUUCUAGUAAUAUUGGUCCAAAGUAGAGCAAAAGCAAUCAAUUUAUAACAUUAAUACUCGCUUCCAUGUACGUGUUGUAGUUUAUGUGUUUCUAUUGAUUGCUAGUUAAACCAUAGUGAUAUUGUUGUUCGUGUAUUAAACUCUAGCAAUGUGACCCCCCGGAAGAUGGUCUUUUUUUCAA